UUAGUAGAGACGGGUUUUCACCAUGUUGGCCAGCCCGGUCUUGAACUCCGUCAGCCUCCCAAAGUGCUAGGAUUAACAGGCGUGAGCCGGCACGCCCGGCCUCCCCGCUGAAUCCUUUCUUCAUUUUAUCAUAAUCCUUCUAAAGACACUUUCGGGAACUUUAAAAGAUGCCUACCACCAUUUGUCUCUCAUGAAGAUGUGAACUGCGACUGGAAACAGCUCAGUCUCUCACAGGGUUACUGUAAAGAUUACAAAAUAUAAUGUGUAGGAAGAAGCUAUGACUGCGUUGCCAUGGAAUCCCUGAGGCACCAUGUAAGAAUUUCCAGGCUAUUAUGCUUUGAGGAAACCCAGUUCACGGUGAGUUCAUAUGCAGAAAUAUUUCAACCCAGAACCCCAGCUGAAUUCCUCAUCAACCCCCAGAUGGACCAGUGACAGUCCUUGAGACAGACUGCAGAUACACAUCACCAAUAUCAAGCAUGGACGAGUAGACUGCUAUGGAUAAUAGGUGAAAAGGACAAAUUUCUUGGAUGACAUAACCUACCAAAUGUGACUCAAGAAGAAAUAGCUGUAACUCAAUUAUAAUAAAUCAGGUCCAGAUAGCUUCACUGGGCUGUUUUAAUGGCUUAAUACUCAUUGACUAUUUCCUGUAGGCCAGAAGUUAAGUGAGUUUGGCUAGUUACUUUGCUUAAAGUCUCAAUAGGCUGCAAUCAAAGUAUUGGUCAGCCUGGGUUUUUAUCUGGAGACUCAAGGGUAAAGGAUAAUCUACUUCCAGUCUUAAUCGGGUUGUUGAUAGAAUUAAAUUCUGUGAAGUCGUAGAGCUGAAGUCUCUAUUUCUUUGCUCACUGUCAGACAGAGGUCAUUCUUAACUGUAGGAGGCUGCUCACGUGCCUUGGCUCAUGGUCCCAUCCAUCUUAAAAGUCCCCAACAGAUCACUGAUACACUCAACAACUUGGAUAGAUCUCAAGUUAAUUAUUGUUAGCAAAAAGCCAGUCUCAAAAGAUCAUAUAAUGUCUGAUUCUAUGUAUAUAACAUUCAGAAAAUGACAAAAUUAUAGAGAGAAUGAAAACUGAUUGGUGGUUGCAAGGUUUAGGAAUAGGAGUUGACUAUAAAGAGAUAUUAAGACAGAGAUGUUUGUGGUGAUGGAAUCUGUCUUGAAUGCAGUGUUUGCAAUGGUAGUAGAUUUACACAUGUGACAAAAUAGCAUAGCACUAUAUAGGCAAAUAGUACCAAUGCUAAUAUCCUGGUUUUGAUAUGCUUCUCAAAAAUGUAUGCAUGAUCUCAGGAGUGUAUAAGCCUUGUGCCUAUUUUGUUUGAUUCAUUUAUACUUGAUGUAGCUUGAAGUUUAGUUUAAAUGAUAUUGUUUUUCAAAUUUUGUUUCUAUUGUUUCAUCACAACAUAUAGAAAUACAAUUGAUUGUUGUAUAUUGACCUUUAAUCUGCUAAACUCACUUAAGACUCCUAGCUGUCUUUUUAUAGUUCUUAACUAUAUGUGAACAGUUAUAUUUGCAUUCAUUUCCUUUUGCUGCUGUAACAAGUUGCUACAAAUUUAGGAGCUUAAAUCAACACAAACGUAUAUGACAGUUCUGAAGGUCAGAAGUUGAAAUGAGUUAUGCUACACUAAAAUCAAGUUGUCAUCAGAGCUGAUUUUUCAUUUCAAAAUAUGAAAAAUUUUUUGGCUUGUGUUUUGCAUUUUCCAACAUUUAGAGACUGUGCACAUUCCUUGGCUCAUGGCUUCCUCUGUCUU
rnacentral:lncRNA from 10 species